GAAAAAAAAAUCGUCUUGGAACGAGGCCUCCAGGUGCCCUCGAGCUCGCACUCGCAUCAGAUCCCUUCCAGGCCACCACGCCACACCACCAGAUCCCAUCGCCGCCGCCUCGCACUCGCAUCCCAUCGCCGCCGCCCGUGCGUUCUCGAUCGGAGAGGACGCUCCCUUCGCCGCCGCUGAGAUCCGAGAAGAGUUGCCCUUCGCCGGCGCCAAGAUCCUGUGCCUCUCUAAAGACCCCUCUCUCUCGCGACACCGCCUCCCUUACAAGGACGCCACGCCAUGGGUCUCCAUCGGUGCCACGACUGCCGCGGCCUCCCCACCUGCCGACGCUCUAGAUCCGGCCGUAGUUGAUUCCCUGUACAUCAUCUCAAGGAGGAGGGGCGUGAGGCGGUUGCCGCCGCCGGUGGCUGCACUUGAAGGUCUCCGCCGCUUGCUCCAACCAGAUCCAGCCAGACCGUCCUGUGGUGGUCCACGUGCAUCUGGACGGACGCAACGGCUUUGCCUCCCCUGUCCCAUGUCUUCGUCCACCACACCAUCCCAUUGCGCUGCUGCUACCCGGGCUCACAUGACCCCGUGGAGGAAGGAGCUGCGCAAGGAAUCACUGCCAAAAGACUCGAGAUGAGUUUGGAGUGUCCUGGAUUCCAGGCCAUGUUCCGCAAGGACGAAGCAACGCGAGCUAGCCGAGGGUUCAGAUUGACGUUCGCUUUGAUUCUCGUUGAUUCAUUGUUUUGACCGACCCAAGCAGCGCCGGCGCUCACGGAGGAGAACCUGAUGUUCCUAGAGGCCUGACGCGCGGUCGAUCACACUUACUACGACAAGUCCUCCAACGGGUGGAGCUGGUUCAGGUACCACAAGCACCCUCCAUGAAAAGCAGGUUCCAGCUGUGCAAAGUCUGCCUGCUACUGCUAUCCAUACUGCGCCAUAGCAAAAUAGCUUUGGAUCAGGACUAACCUCUAGCCAGGAAAGAACCUGAAUCCCAAGUCGACGGCCGCUGCGGUGCCCACGUCCGCGUCAUUAGUGCUGCUAAGGGGCGCUUCACCCUGUUCGGCAUUAUCUUCUAUUCUUCCUACGGCUGCAAGAACCCUCACCUUGGCUAUGGCAGAUGCGACAGAUAAAGCAGGAGAUGGAUGAAAUGCUGCUGAGACGUUACAAGAUAUUCCAGCAGAGGCAUCCUUACCGUCCGCAUUACAAGGAUAUGAGAACAUUGGGGUCCUGAAGGCAGUGACCUGUUUACCAUACACAUAUUUACUUCCUUUCUAGGGCGGAACAAUGGAAGGCACAAUUCCAAAUUUCCAAGUACAACUCUUCAAGAACAGGAUCUCUGAAGGAACAACAAUUUACAAGCUUGGCGCUUACCAGGUUCAAUAUGCUAGGGAAAGAUACAAAACUGUAGAUCGUCCAUCGAGAGUAGUGUUUGCCCAAAAAACUACCGUGGAACCAAUUGUGCCUCAGCCACCAAACUUUCCCAAGUAUGGAUAUACCACCUACAAUGUACACAGUACCAAAGCUGCAUUAAACAAAUUGUUUUGUUGUCAGUUACCAGCAUCACAAGAAUAUUUGCGCCGAGCGGCGGAUCGAUUGACCAGAUAUGAGAAAAUCACAUCACAAAUAAUGCCCGCCGUUGUGAUGUUUUGGGGAAAAUUAGCAGAUGCCCUUGAUGCAGACAAGCUACAACGGUGGUCUGCUCAAGAACCCAUUAUAGUUCUAUUUGUUGGCAUGCCAGUACAUGAAUUUAAUGAAACUUGACCUUCAAGCCCUGUCUGGCAACUCGAUGGUACAUAAAUCCAACUAUUUCUGAAGCGGCAGCUAUUCUAGGAAGAUCUACUGCAAGAUCCCAUCAAAUUGAGAUAAGCACCGGCUCACAGGGUCAUCGCUAGGCAACAAAUACAACAAACACAUAAUUAUCAGCCGUUGACCCUGGUGGAAUCAUGGACCAGUACUAUAAACUGGAAAUAAAGAGAACUGAAGUGUCCCCUUCCAUGGCGUUGGGGGGCCUUUCUCUGCCAGGCGCGGUGGCUCCUUGGUAGGAUGAUGCAGCUAGCUCGGCGGAGGCUAGGAGGCUCGUCGGCCGACAUUUCGUUGAUGCAUGGGUGCCAUAUUGCGAUGGAACGGCAGUAUAAUAUACAAAACUUUGACGAGGCUCACCUGCUUCAAAAUUUCACAAUAAGUCCAAUCAAGACAACUUGCAACUUUGGCGUUGUCACAUUGGAGUCCGUGCUCAGCAGCAAUGGGAGACUGUCGUUGAUGCCCGACCCAUGAUGCCGACGAAGGAACGGGAGUCGAUGAGGAGUAGACGCCAUGGGUUUGUGAACUGGCCAAGCCACCGUUGUCCGUUUGGUAAUGUGACUUGCCCUGAUUUUGACGUCGUCUACCAACAUCCGACGAAGGGAACCCGUCCCGGUUUCCAUCUUGAUGUUAUAUUAUCAACCUUCAGCGAGCAGUGACAACGAACUCCAUCCCCCCACCACACCACACCCAUGUUUCAUUUGAUGUGCUUUAAGCCAUGUUUCAGCUUGUCUCGACCCAGCAUGUAUUUUUUGUUUCAGUUGUUGAGCUCUGCACUACCAAACUGAGAAAGACCCAUAACUUUUUACAGGAUCGUUUCUACAUACUACAAAUAGAGGGAAGUUGGCUUGUGCCUUACUAGAGACAGAUGAACCAAUAAAAUGAUUGGAAAGGCUCUUUCCAAGCAUAAGGCGGGUCUACUCUCCCUCUUGAGGCGAGUGUGGAUGUAAUGGAUAUUGAUUGUGGUUGUUCGGACAAAAAUAUUGCGUGGAAACAUUAUAUACUGAUGGAGAGGAGUAGUUGUGGAGCGGGUCGUGGGAGAGACGGUUGGUUAGCAUGGGCUGGACGGAAAGGUGAUGCCUGCGAUGGUGACCAAGCCGGCGGGCAGGGCAGGGGCGACUGUGGCCAUUGUGGUGUUUUCAAGGGAGAGCGAGGCAACUGCAAUCACGAAACUGAAGAAGUCGAAACCCGGGGCGAAGUUGGCCAACAUGAAAGCUGACAAACCUAAAUGCCGGUGAUAGGUUGUUCGCCGCUGUCACGCCGUCUUUGAACUUGGUGGAGACGCAGAAGCAGUGGCGGGGCUAGGAUCAAGCCACGACCCGGGCAAGCCCCAGGCCAAUCACUUGGUACAAUGCUAAACAGUGUAAAAUCCACUACAGUAAACGAAGGAGCCAAGCCUCAGGACCCAGGCCGCCGCCCGGGCAGCCUGGGGCUUGUCUCCGCCACUGCGCAGAAGGAGAACGGUGGCGCCGUGAAGACCUUGACGACUGCUGCCAUGACCACAACCAUGAUGAUUGUGUUGGUAAUAAAGAUACCAAUUAUAUACAAAUCCCCCAGCUUCGAAAACAUUAGAUUAUCCAACUUAUUAUUCAAAUUCUUGAUUCAAGAUAAAUGGAAAUUUCCUAUAUACAAUGAGCUUAUUAUUUAUUUUUUAGAAAAGGAGGAUGACCUCCGGCCUCUGCAUCUGGGAGAUGUAUACGGCCACUUUAUUGAUUAUUCUCGAGGACCUUACAAAGUAUUACAACAAUAUGUCUGAAUCCACCAUCUUGGCAUCUGCCGCUACUCCAAUCCAUACAAUGAGCUUAUUAUUGAAGGUUGCAUCGAUUAUGCUAUUAUUACUGAAAUAAGAGGCUUAUGAAAUUUUCAAUCUUUA